rnacentral:rRNA from 1 species
AGAAUCAACGCUGGCGGCGUGCCUAACACAUGCAAGUCGCACGAGAAAGGGGACUUCGGUCCCUGAGUAAAGUGGCGCACGGGUGAGUAACACGUGAAUCAUCUACCUUCGAGUGGGGAAUAACUGAGAGAAAUCUUAGCUAAUACCGCAUAAUACCUACGGGUCAAAGCAGCAAUGCGCUUGAAGAGGAGUUCGCGGCAGAUUAGUUAGUUGGCGGGGUAAUGGCCCACCAAGACGAUGAUCUGUA